rnacentral:misc_RNA from 1 species
AAGUCGUAACAAGGUUUCCGUAGGUGAACCUGCGGAAGGAUCAUUACCGAGAGUGGGACCCCGCGUCCCCCGGGGCUUCGGCCCCGACUCUUCACCCUGUGCGUACCCACCAUUGUUGCUUCGGCGCUGCGUCCGCGCCGCGCGCGCGGGCCCCGCCGGAGGCCCCCGAAACCCCGUCAUCAGUGUCGUCUGAGGAGAAAUCCAAUAACUAAAACUUUCAACAACGGAUCUCUUGGUUCUG